rnacentral:antisense_RNA from 1 species
GUAGAUAUUAGAGAAUUGAUAGUUUACUGGCCGUCAAACUUUUUCCUUACUGAGUCUUUUAUUUACGCUGCUUUUUUCCUAAUUAACUCCUAAUUUAGUUUGUAUCAGCCCAGCGCCUGCUUGCUCUGGGCUUUUUUUA